rnacentral:rRNA from 1 species
GACGAACGCUGGCGGCGGGCUUAACACAUGCAAGUCGAACGGAAAAGCCCUGCUUGUGUGUGGUGCUCGAGUGGCGAACGGGUGAGUAACACGGGAGUAACCUUCCCUUGGCUGUAGGAUGACUUCAGACAGCUGGGACUAAUACCUGAGAGGAGCGCCUGCUGCAUGGGGGGGGUUGGACCGUUUCGGCUGUUGGGGAUGGACGCGCGGCUUAUCAGCUUGUUGGUGGGGUAGUGGCUUAGCAAGGGAUUGACGGGUAGCCGGCCUGAGAGGGGGACCGGGCACAUUGGGACUGAGAUACGGCCCAGAGUCGUAUGGGAGGCAGCAGUGGGGAAUAUUGCACAAUGGGGGGAAGUGUGAUGCAGCAACGUUGCGUGUGGGAUGAAGGUCUUGGUGGUGGAAAGCGCUUUCGGUUGUGACGAAGCGUGAGUGACGUUAAUGGGUAAAGAAGCACCGGCUAACUACGUG